UUCAGACAUUGGCACUUUGAAGCAAAGCCUUAGAUGAACAUAUUUCUUCUGUACUUUAACUAGCAUACCUCUGUUUGGGAUGAGGAGUUUACAGGGCAAUGCCAGUGGAGUAAUGGAAUGCUGGUACACCAGAGCAGUCAAACUCCCAAAGCAUGGUUCAUUUGGGCAUCCUUUCAAGUGAACCCCCUUCUGAGAGCAUUCAAUCAGAAAAUGCCUUACAAGUUCAUUUGACAAAUCUCCAACUUUCUUGUUCAUCUGCAGCACAGAAGGAGGUGGUACAGCAACUUUUAUUGCUAGUCCAUAGGCUCCCCG
rnacentral:lncRNA from 1 species